GGGGUUGUGGCUCAGCUGUAGAGCGCUCAUCUAGCACAUGCGAGGCCCUGGGUUUGAUCCUCAGCACCACUA
rfam:Ictidomys tridecemlineatus contig030427, whole genome shotgun sequence.